rnacentral:rRNA from 1 species
UACGGGGGGGGCAAGCGUUGUUCGGAAUUACUGGGCGUAAAGGGCUCGUAGGCGGCCAACUAAGUCAGACGUGAAAUCCCCAGGCUCAACCUGGGAACUGCGUCUGAUACUGGAUGGCUUGAAUCCGGGAGAGGGAUGCAGAAUUCCAGGUGUGGCGGUGAAAUGCGUAGAUAUCUGGAGGAAUACCGGUGGCGAAGGCGGCAUCCUGGACCGGCAUUGACGCUGAGGAGCGAAAGCUAGGGGAGCAAACGGG